rnacentral:tRNA from 1 species
GGCCCCAUGGUCAAGCGGUUAAGACACCUCCCUUUCACGGAGGGAACAGGGGUUCGAAUCCCCUUGGGGUCACCA